rnacentral:rRNA from 1 species
AGGGUUUGAUCAUGGCUCAGGAUGAACGCUGGCGGCGUGCUUAACACAUGCAAGUCGAACGAACCUUCGGGUUAGUGGCGGACGGGUGAGUAACGCGUGGGAAUCUGCCCUCAGGAGGGGGAUAACGGCCGGAAACGGCCGCUAAUACCCCAUAUGCCGAGAGGUGAAAUGAAUUUCGCCUGAGGAUGAGCCCGCGUCUGAUUAGCUAGUUGGUGAGGUAAGAGCUCACCAAGGCAUCGAUCAGUAGCUGGUCUGAGAGGAUGAUCAGCCACACUGGGACUGAGACACGGCCCAGACUCCUACGGGAGGCAGCAGUGGGGAAUUUUCCGCAAUGGGCGAAAGCCUGACGGAGCAACGCCGCGUGAGGGAUGAAGGCCUCUGGGCUGUAAACCUCUUUUAUCAAGGAAGAAGAUCUGACGGUACUUGAUGAAUAAGCCACGGCUAAUUCCGUGC